rnacentral:rRNA from 1 species
AUUGAACGCUGGCGGCAGGCCUAACACAUGCAAGUCGAGCGGAAACGAGUUAACUGAACCUUCGGGGGACGUUAACGGCGUCGAGCGGCGGACGGGUGAGUAAUGCCUGGGAAAUUGCCCUGAUGUGGGGGAUAACCAUUGGAAACGAUGGCUAAUACCGCAUAAUAGCUUCGGCUCAAAGAGGGGGACCUUCGGGCCUCUCGCGUCAGGAUAUGCCCAGGUGGGAUUAGCUAGUUGGUGAGGUAAGGGCUCACCAAGGCGACGAUCCCUAGCUGGUCUGAGAGGAUGAUCAGCCACACUGGAACUGAGACACGGUCCAGACUCCUACGGGAGGCAGCAGUGGGGAAUAUUGCACAAUGGGCGCAAGCCUGAUGCAGCCAUGCCGCGUGUAUGAAGAAGGCCUUCGGGUUGUAAAGUACUUUCAGCAGUGAGGAAGGUUCAUGCGUUAAUAGCGUAUGGAUUUGACGUUAGCUGCAGAAGAAGCACCGGCUAACUCCGUGCCGGCAGCCGCGGUAAUACGGAGGGUGCGAGCGUUAAUCGGAAUUACUGGGCGUAAAGCGCAUGCAGGUGGUUCGUUAAGUCAGAUGUGAAAGCCCGGGGCUCAACCUCGGAACUGCAUUUGAAACUGGCGGACUAGAGUACUGUGGAGGGGGGUAGAAUUUCAGGUGUAGCGGUGAAAUGCGUAGAGAUCUGAAGGAAUACCAGUGGCGAAGGCGGCCCCCUGGA